GAGUUUGAUCAUGGCUCAGGAUGAACGCUAGCGGCAGGCUUAACACAUGCAAGUCGAGGGGUAACAGGGAUUGCUUGCAAUCCGCUGACGACCGGCGCACGGGUGCGUAACGCGUAUGCAACCUACCUUUUACAAGGGGAUAGCCCAGAGAAAUUUGGAAUAAUACCCUAUACGAUCAUUAAUUGGCAUCAAUUAAUGAAGAAAACUCCGGUGGUAAAAGAUGGGCAUGCGUCCUAUUAGUUAGUUGGUAAGGUAACGGCUUACCAAGACUCCGAUAGGUAGGGGUCCUGAGAGGGAGAUCCCCCACACUGGUACUGAGACACGGACCAGACUCCUACGGGAGGCAGCAGUGAGGAAUAUUGGACAAUGGAGGCAACUCUGAUCCAGCCAUGCCGCGUGCAGGAAGACGGCCCUACGGGUUGUAAACUGCUUUUAUACAGGAAGAACUAUAUCUACGUGUAGAUAUUUGACGGUACUGUACGAAUAAGGAUCGGCUAACUCCGUGCCAGCAGCCGCGGUAAUACGGAGGAUCCAAGCGUUAUCCGGAAUCAUUGGGUUUAAAGGGUCCGUAGGCGGUCUAAUAAGUCAGAGGUGAAAUCCUACAGCUCAACUGUAGCAUUGCCUUUGAUACUGUUAAACUUGAGUUAUUGUGAAGUAGUUAGAAUGUGUAGUGUAGCGGUGAAAUGCAUAGAUAUUACACAGAAUACCGAUUGCGAAGGCAGAUUACUAACAAUAUACUGACGCUGAGGGACGAAAGCGUGGGUAGCGAACAGGAUUAGAUACCCUGGUAGUCCACGCCGUAAACGAUGGAUACUAGCUGUUCGAUCAACAUUGGUUGGUUGAGUGGCUAAGCGAAAGUGAUAA
rnacentral:rRNA from 1 species